GACCAUCCCUCUCUUUUCUUUCCGCCGCAGCCCAGCAACCGCCGCCCCUAUUCUUCUUUCCGGUCGUUUUCUUCUCUUCUUCGGAUCCAAAACUGCCGUUGUAACCGUCGGCCGCCGCGUGACCUCUGCCCAGCGCCGUGUGACCCUCUGCCCAGUCCCGCCGCGCAACAUCUGUCUCCGUCGAAGCCAAGCCAGUCGCCGUCCAUUCCUCUCCUUUCUCCUCUGUUUUCAGCCAGCCGCCGCCGAUUCCUUCUCCUCCAUUGUCUGCAAUGCCGCGCGACUCUCCGUCCGUCUGUAUACGGUCUCUCCGUCGCACGUCGUCUCUUCGCAAAGCUACUGCUCGACUUCUUCCGCGAAUGACAUCUACCGUGAAUCGAAUUAAAAACC
rnacentral:lncRNA from 1 species